rnacentral:lncRNA from 1 species
UAAACCUUAGAAGACAGUAGAAUUCUUUCUCUACGUGACUCUUCUAAUGGAUUGCUGUUUCCGCUGCAUUUGUUGAUCUAAAACUUGUUGUCUAUUGUAUUCUAUUAGAUUUUUCCCUGUUGAAGACUAACGAUAAUUUGUUGUAUAUUAUCUUAGUCAUAAUAUUCUUUACUGGGCUAGUUGAGCUCACCCUUUUCCUUUUUGUUCCAUUUUUCUUCUCAGGAGGUGAGAACAUAGCAGGAUCGAGUCGGGGUAUGGAGUGAUGGUUCUAGGAAGAUGUUUUAGCUGUCCUCACUAUUUCUGUAAAAUAGUGUAUGAAUAAUUAAUGAGGACUUAUUUGGGUGUGUAUAUUAUCUAGAAGACAAUAUUUGUAUUCAAACUCACAGUUGUAUUGUCGUAUUCUACACGACAUCUGUAUUGUCAAAGUUGUAGUUUGCUUUCUAUACCAUGUAUUUUGGCGACUCAGAAUGGGUGUUGUAUACCUAUUUUGGGGGCGUCACA